CCCCUAGAUGUUCUGGGCCGCACGCGCGCUACACUGAACAGUUCAACAAGUCUUAACCUUGGCCGAUAGGUCUGGGUAAUCUUUGAACGCUGUUCGUGAUUGGGAUAGACCUUUGCAAUUAUGGGUCUUCAACGAGGAAUUCCUAGUAAACGCAAGUCAUCAGCUUGCAUUGAUUACGUCCCUGCCCUUUGUACACACCGCCCGUCGCACCUACCGAUUGAAUGGUCCGGUGAAAUCUCGGGACGGCGGCUUGGUCGCUUGCGUCCGACUGCUGAAACUUGAUUAAACCAUAUCAUUUAGAGGAGGGUGAAGUCGUANCA
rnacentral:rRNA from 1 species